ACGCGAGGAACCUUACCAGGUCUUGACAUCUGAAUGACCGGUACAGAGAUGUACCUUUCCUUCGGGACAUUCAAGACAGGUGGUGCAUGGUUGUCGUCAGCUCGUGUCGUGAGAUGUUGGGUUAAGUCCCGCAACGAGCGCAACCCUUGAUCUUAGUUGCCAGCAUUUAGUUGGGCACUCUAAGGUGACUGCCGGUGACAAACCGGAGGAAGGUGGGGAUGACGUCAAAUCAUCAUGCCCCUUAUGACCUGGGCUACACACGUGCUACAAUGGAUGGUACAAAGGGCAGCAAAGCGGUGACGCCUAGCAAAUCCCAUAAAACCAUUCUCAGUUCGGAUUGUAGGCUGCAACUCGCCUACAUGAAGCUGGAAUCGCUAGUAAUCGCGGAUCAGCAUGCCGCGGUGAAUACGUUCCCGGGCCUUGCACUCACCGCCCGU
rnacentral:rRNA from 1 species